AAUAAUAAAUUAUAGUCUGAAAUAAACCUUUGAAAUGUAAUUUAUCAGAAAGAAUACAGCCACUUUGCUAUCACAGAAGCACUUUACGUCCUAUCAGCAGGUUGAUCAACAGAGCACACAGUUAACCAAAGGUUAGGAUGAGACUGGCCAUAAAGCACGGACGGGCCUUUGUUGGAGCCGAGUUUAACGGGUACAACGGCCAGCGCGCCGGCAGGUGACAUCUGCUAAUGAGAGAACCACUUGUGGCUUUAUGAGUCACUGAUGAUGGAAGCGAGGCCCUUGGAAGCCCAGGGGACGGACUGAACUUGUGCUCAGCUCAUGUGGUGCAGAGCCAUCACCAAUGAUACGUGGCGUCGCACGCAAGGGACUAACAGUCGUCGGAGAGCAAUUAGCGCACAUUCAGCCCGUCUCUUCACAUAUAACAACUUAAAUCUGUCAACAAGACAGACAGAUUCAGACUUGCAAUUACUUUACAUGUUGGUGCAGAAAUAUGCGAUUUGCCUAGGCAAAAAUUUGUAGGGCGGAGACACAAUACCUGUGUUCCUUUACUAAACUGGGAAAUCCUUUAAACCCAGCAACAGAGGCAAAGUUAAAAAGGUGCAACAGUGCAGCGUUUUCUUACUUUAUCAUGACCGAGCCAUCUGCGUUAACCGCCAUUUGACCUCAGUGCAGAGAAGCUAGUGGUUCGAACAGUGGGGGCACACAUACUUGUUCUCACGUGCACUCACAUGCACGUGCAUGGCCUAGCUGCAUAAACAAAGCACAGAGCAGACAGCUCACCACCAGCCCGAGAGUUGGGAUUUUUGAUACGAUUGAUUGGCUGGAAUUCAAGAGCAAGGAGUUGAGUUUUAACCAAGAUUUCUGGGUUUAUUUGACCCGCGUAAUUUUCACAUUUAGAACUCUUGCGCUAUGAGGCGUUGGUUCAUCCGGAACCAGUCAUCUCUAAUCGAUGCACAAAAUGUUGCAUCAUUUAACUUUGAAGCUUGAACCAGGCGUAAACAAAAGAGUAACCACCAGUAGCACAGUAUCUUGUACAGUCCCAUAUAGUAAUAAAGAAACGCGCUUUCCACUGUGAAUUAGCAUGAGGACGUAAUUCUGCACAAAGAAGCACAUCAGCACACAAAUUGGGGUGGGUGGAGUCAGCGAGUAAACAGGACGGUGAACAGACCAUCUCAUGGGACUCCUUUGGCCCUGCUUUAUAAAUUUGUAUAUUUUUCAUGUGUACGCUUUGAACAGACACGCUUGUGAGCACAACAUGAAGAUGGCCUGCCAUUGCCCAGAGUCACACCAGCCUUCCUUGAUGUAGAAUUAUGUUGAAUUUUGCCUUUAAAAUAGGCCAAAGCAUGAACAAAUUAGGUCAGGAACAGGUCUACAGCUUCCUGGGUAUUUAUGUAUGCAAUAGUCACAUUGGUGUCCCGUUAUUGACGUCAAACAUCCUGAGGAACUUGAUUAACAUAAGAAUGCAGGUGUACAUGUUAGGACAGGGGGGAUACCCCGCUCAGGUGUAAGCAAAGCUAAACAACAGUACAAAACAGAAAGGGCCAGCUGGCACUACGUAACAUUCCUUCCCAACUCACUCCACACCCUCGCCUUAUCCGCAUAAAUUGGUCGUGGAUACCUUGAUUUCCUAGUGCAACGUUAAAUACAUAUCUUUUCCAUUUGUCAAGGCGUUCUAUAUUAGUUUUAAAGUCUGUUUGGCUCCUCCAUUUAAUCAAACAAAGCUCAGCAGGAAGUGAGGGGACAUUGGAUCACUUGCGCUUCUGGCCUGCAAGUAGAAUAAAAAAAGUCAACAUUGUCUUCUUUUUUCAGUGAUUUACAAAUACACAAAAUAGGCUACAAAGUUCUACUAGCCUAGAUUUCCUAGAAAAAGUAGUUGUAGGCCACAGGAAACUGGGACAUCAUGUGAAGAGAGUUGAAACUUCAUGUGUUUCUAAUUAUGGCAGAAACAUGAUUAAAGGAACUGCUUACGAUUUCUCUGGAGGCAAACCUCUGACGAAAUCGAAUGAUGAGUGGCUGUUGUCCAGCACUCACAUCGUAGUACCAUUCAGUAGAACAACAAACAGGCCAAAGCCAUCAGCUAAUAGCAUUAUACCCUAGCUGUGGUUUGAGUACGCUGCAGUGACGCAGACAUUUUCAAAAAUAAAAAGACGUACCUGUAUAUCUAGGGUCAAACAAUUUUAAAAUUGGCCAAACACUGGCACAGUACUUUCCUGACUACGUAUCUGCUGCGGUUUUGUCUAUUCAAAAACAAACCAGUGCAUGAUACAAUAACAUAAAUAUUGGGGUAAACUUUAUCAAUACCAACCCACCUAACUGCUAGUGAAAUUGACAUUUUGAAUCCAUUGAUUCUUUUUCAAAAAGCCUGUGUAGAAUCAGAAGUAUCCAUCUAGAAUUACACAUUUUAAAUCACUUCCUAAAUUAAAAACUGAAUAAAAAAGGUUAUGAAAAACACUUUCUGAAAAAAUAGGCCAUUCCUCUAAAGCACGUGAGUAACAGGUUUCCAGGGGAAGUUGGUGAUCGGAGCGAAUGUUGGCAAAUGGGUUGUCAUCCGCUUAAGACACUUUUCCAUGGGGGAGUCAUUGCCUCGCCAACAGAAAACGCCUUGUUUCCACUUGUUGAUGGUCUGACAUGCUUUGCUUUGGCAAUAAGGCUUCCUCAGCAACCCAGGCUGGAUGCCUUGGUGACAAUAACCCCCAUUGAAGUCGUUUUUUUUGCCCACUCACUGCAGCCAUACAGUUUGUGUAUGUGAGAAGUUGCUUUCUCACCGGUUCCGAUGCACAGACAACCCCUCGGUUUUGUUUGAGUCAAUGUCUCUUUUGGCUCAACUGCCUGUCCGGGGUUAGUUUCACUGUGGAUCUCAGGUUAAGCGGGCAGAUAUAGCACAUAGCAACACCAUAUGCCCCGACAAACAGGAAUGGUGGGGGGGGAAGACACACAACUGUCUAAACAUGUCUGUGUCUCAUCAAGUGACCGUUUAAGAAGGCGGGUCACCCCGUUGCGCCCUUUUCUUGCACAAAUCAAAAUAUAAUACAAAAUACAUAAGUCAUGGUCAGCGCGAAACAAACCAAAAUGUUGUGCUACCACUAAUACGCGAGGUCCAUGUGUACCGAGACCGCGGAGGAGAACACAUU
ensembl:lncRNA